rnacentral:rRNA from 1 species
AGAGUUUGAUCCUGGCUCAGGACGAACGCUGGCGGUGUGCUUCACACAUGCAAGUCGAGCGGAUGAAGUAGGUAGCUUGCUACUUAUGGAUUUAGCGGCGGACGGGUGAGUAAUAUAUAGGAAUCUGCCCUAGAGCGGGGAACAACAGACCGAAAGGUUUGCUAAUGCCCCAUAGGUACGCAGUCUUCGGAUUGUUUAUUAAAGGAGUAAUCCACUCUAGGAUGAGCCUGUAUCCGAUUAGCUAGUUGGCGGGGUAAAGGCCCACCAAGGCUACGAUCGGUAGUUGGUCUGAGAGGAUGAUCAGCCACAAUGGGACUGAGACACGGCCCAUACUCCUACGGGAGGCAGCAGUGGGGAAUUUUACACAAUGGGGGAAACCCUGAUGUAGCGACACCGCGUGAACGAAGAAGCCUUUUGGGGUGUAAAGUUCUGUCGGCUGGAACGAAAAAAAUGACGGUACCAGCAAAGGAAGCAUCGGCUAACUACGUGCCAGCAGCCGCGGUAAGACGUAGGAUGCAAGCGUUGUCCGGAUUUAUUGGGCGUAAAGAGUUCGUAGGCGGUUAUUUAAGUCUGGUGUUAAAUACUGUGGCCCAACCACAGAACUGCAUUGGAUACUGGAUGACCUGAGUGCGGUAGAGGCGAGUGGAAUUCCCAGUGUAGCGGUGAAAUGCGUAGA